rnacentral:rRNA from 1 species
AGAGUUUGAUUAUGGCUCAGGAUGAACGCUAGCGGCAGGCCUAAUACAUGCAAGUCGAACGGUAAGGACCCGCUUGCGGGUCACGCGAGUGGCGAACGGGUGCGUAACGCGUAUGCAACCUACCUUCAACUGGAGAAUAGCCCCGAGAAAUCGGGAUUAAUACUCCAUAACAUCCAUUUAUCACCUGAUUUUUGGAUUAAAGUCCCGACGGUUGAAGAUGGGCAUGCGUGACAUUAGUUUGUUGGUGAGGUAACGGCUCACCAAGACUGCGAUGUCUAGGGGUUCUGAGAGGAUUUCCCCCCACACUGGUACUGAGACACGGACCAGACUCCUACGGGAGGCAGCAGUAAGGAAUAUUGGUCAAUGGACGAAAGUCUGAACCAGCCAUGCCGCGUGCAGGAUGACAGCCCUACGGGUUGUAAACUGCUUUUAUACGGGAAGAAUCCCCUGUACGUGUACAGGGUUGACGGUACCGUACGAAUAAGCAUCGGCUAACUCCGUGCCAGCAGCCGCGGUAAUACGGAGGAUGCAAGCGUUAUCCGGAUUCAUUGGGUUUAAAGGGUGCGUAGGCGGAAUGAUAAGUUAGUGGUGAAAGCCCCCGGCUCAACCGGGGAACUGCCAUUAAAACUGUCAUUCUUGAGUAUAGUUGAAGUGGGCGGAAUGUAUCAUGUAGCGGUGAAAUGCUUAGAUAUGAUACAGAACACCGAUAGCGAAGGCAGCUUGCUAAACUAUAACUGACGCUCAGGCACGAAAGCGUGGGGAGCAAACAGGAUUAGAUACCCUGGUAGUCCACGCCGUAAACGAUGAUCACUCGCUGUUGGCGAUACACAGUCAGCGGCUUAGGGAAACCAUUAAGUGAUCCACCU